GUGGGGAAUAUUGGACAAUGGGCGAAAGCCUGAUCCAGCAAUGCCGCGUGAGUGAUGAAGGCCCUAGGGUUGUAAAGCUCUUUUACCCGGGAUGAUAAUGACAGUACCGGGAGAAUAAGCUCCGGCUAACUUCGUGCCAGCAGCCGCGGUAAUACGAGGGGAGCUAGCGUUGUUCGGAAUUACUGGGCGUAAAGCGCGCGUAGACGGUUUUUUAAGUCAGAGGUGAAAGCCCGGGGCUCAACCCCGGAAUUGCCUUUGAAACUGGAAAACUAGAAUCUUGGAGAGGUCAGUGGAAUUCCGAGUGUAGAGGUGAAAUUCGUAGAUAUUCGGAAGAACACCAGUGGCGAAGGCGACUGACUGGACAAGUAUUGACGCUGAGGUGCGAAAGCGUGGGGAGCAAACAGGAUUAGAAACCCGAGUAGUCC
rnacentral:rRNA from 1 species